GCCUACGGCCAUACCACCCUGAAAGCGCCCGAUCUCGUCUGAUCUCGGAAGCUAAGCAGGGACGGGCUUGGUUAGUACCUGGAUGGGAGACCGCCUGGGAAUACCAGGUGUUGUAGGCUU
rnacentral:rRNA from 1 species